GAUGAACGCUAGCUACAGGCUUAACACAUGCAAGUCGAGGGGCAGCGCAGUGUAGCAAUACAUGGGCGGCGACCGGCGCACGGGUGCGUAACGCGUAUCCAACCUUCCCGUUACUCAGGGAUAGCCUUCCGAAAGGGAGAUUAAUACCUGAUGGUGUUCAAAUUCCGCAUGUUAUUUGAAUUAAAGAUUUAUCGGUAACGGAUGGGGAUGCGUGACAUUAGAUAGUAGGCGGGGUAACGGCCCACCUAGUCUACGAUGUCUAGGGGUUCUGAGAGGAAGGUCCCCCACACUGGAACUGAGACACGGUCCAGACUCCUACGGGAGGCAGCAGUGAGGAAUAUUGGUCAAUGGUCGGAAGACUGAACCAGCCAAGUAGCGUGAAGGAUGAAGGUUCUAUGGAUUGUAAACUUCUUUUGUCUGAGGGUAAAAAGCGGACGUGUCCGUUCUUGCAAGUAUCAGACGAAUAAGCAUCGGCUAACUCCGUG
rnacentral:rRNA from 1 species